rnacentral:rRNA from 1 species
GAUGAACGCUGGCGGCGUGCCUAAUACAUGCAAGUCGAGCGAACAGAUGAGGAGCUUGCUCCUCUGACGUUAGCGGCGGACGGGUGAGUAACACGUGGAUAACCUACCUAUAAGACUGGGAUAACUUCGGGAAACCGGAGCUAAUACCGGAUAAUAUAUUGAACCGCAUGGUUCAAUAGUGAGAGACGGUUUUGCUGUCACUUAUAGAUGGAUCCGCGCCGCAUUAGCUAGUUGGUAAGGUAACGGCUUACCAAGGCAACGAUGCGUAGCCGACCUGAGAGGGUGAUCGGCCACACUGGAACUGAGACACGGUCCAGACUCCUACGGGAGGCAGCAGUAGGGAAUCUUCCGCAAUGGGCGAAAGCUUGACGGAGCAACGCCGCGUGAGUGAUGAAGGUCUUCGGAUCGUAAAACUCUGUUAUUAGGGAAGAACAAAUGUGUAAGUAACUAUGCACGUCUUGACGGUACCUAAUCAGAAAGCCACGGCUAACUACGUG